rnacentral:rRNA from 1 species
UACGGGAGGCAGCAGUGGGGAAUAUUGCACAAUGGGCGAAAGCCUGAUGCAGCUAUGCCGCGUGUAUGAAGAAGGCCUUAGGGUUGUAAAGUACUUUCAUCGGGGAGGAAAAACAAAACUAAUAAUUUUAUUUCUUGACGUUACCCGAAAAAGAAGCACCGGCUAACUCCGUGCCAGCAGCCGCGGUAAUACGGAGGGUGCUAGCGUUAAUCAGAAUUACUGGGCGUAAAGAGCACGUAGGUGGUUUUUUUAAAGUCAGAUGUGAAAUCCCUGGGCUUAACCUAGGAACUGCAUUUUGAAACUGAAAUACUAGAGUAUCGUAGAGGGAGGUAGAAUUCUAGGUGUAGCGGUGAAAUGCGUAGAUAUCUGGAGGAAUACCUGUGGCGAAAGCGGCCUCCUAAACGAAUACUGACACUGAGGUGCGAAAGCGUGGGGAGCAAACGAGGAUUAGAUACC